UCUUGGAGGAGAGCAGUUUUGCAACUUUGUUCCCAAAAUCUAGAGAGGCUUACUUGAAAGAGUGCUGGCCUUUGGUACAGAAGAGCCUUGAAUGAACAUCACAUUAAUGCAAUCCUGGACCUGAUCAAGGGCAAUAUGACUGUACGACAAAGAAGACUUUUGAUCCAUAUAUCAUCAUUAGGGCCAGAGACCUAAUUAAAACUUUUAGCAAGAAGUGUAUCAUUUGAACAGGUAAAUUUAGAAUUACAAAAACUUUGCUUUAUUUGCAUCAACAUUAGAGAUAACAUAUAACACUGCAUCCCUCCAUCUUAGAGUUUUCAUUUUUCUGCUUAGAUUUCAUUAGCCUAGGCCUUGAAAACAAAUGUGUUUGUAAAGAAUAUUUUCUUCAUGUUUCCAAAGGCAGUACGAAUUCUUUUUUUUU
rnacentral:lncRNA from 1 species